GACGAACGCUGGCGGCGUGCCUAAUACAUGCAAGUCGAACGAGAGCGCCCGGUGCUUGCCCUGGUCAAUCUAGUGGCGGACGGGUGAGUAACACGUGGGUAACCUGCCCAUCAGAGGGGGAUAACAUCCGGAAACGGAUGCUAAAACCGCAUAGGUCUUCGAACCGCAUGGUUUGAAGAGGAAAAGAGGCGCACGCUUCUGCUGAUGGAUGGACCCGCGGUGCAUUAGCUAGUUGGUGAGGUAACGGCUCACCAAGGCCGUGAUGCAUAGCCGACCUGAGAGGGUGAUCGGCCACAUUGGGACUGAGACACGGCCCAAACUCCUACGGGAGGCAGCAGUAGGGAAUCUUCCGCAAUGGACGCAAGUCUGACGGAGCAACGCCGCGUGAGUGAAGAAGGUUUUCGGAUCGUAAAACUCUGUUGUUAGAGAAGAACAAGUGCUAGAGUAACUGUUAGCGCCUUGACGGUAGCUAACCAGAAAGCCACGGCUAACUACGUG
rnacentral:rRNA from 1 species